rnacentral:lncRNA from 1 species
AAGUGACAUGUCAGAGCUGCGAUUGCCUUCAGUAGUCCAGUUUUAAGUCCAAAGCCUUAAUCGUUCUUUCUGGAUACCCAGUACCUUAUAAUGCAGGUCUAUGGAAUUGGACUUCAGACCAAAGUCGACAGGUCUUUAAAAAGACCUGCACGUACCAGCUAACACCUAUGAUCGGUGUACGUCCCACAUUCCAGGGCCAGUCCUGAGAUCUUCCCGUGUCUCCUCAAGAUCUGCCUAUUCCCAGCCUUUAAUCCCAAUUGGAUGCUUCACAUCGGUCC